CACAAACAUUAGCGUUUCUCUCUCGAGGUGUCUUUUGUGGCUUUAUUUAUGGAUUAUUGUGUUUCUCUUUAUCCUUUUCUGUCUUUUGCGUAAUUAUUAUUUUUUUUUCUGUCUAGCACACAAACACUUGGAUCAUGUCCUGUAAUACAGUGAUGCCGUUAUAAAUGGAAACAGGUAUUUGAUCAUUUUGGGCUGACUGUUUUUGAAAUGAACAUCUUUCCCUUCAGAUUUUAUUAUAUUAGGCCUAUAUUUUUACAGCUGUAGCAAUAAAUGUAAUUGACUGUUGUUUUGGCAGGAAUUAUGGUAAGGAAUACCAUGGUAAAUGUUUGUUAGGAAUGAAACAUUUGCAUCAAAUAUAUGUGAUGUAAUAUAAUAUGUGAGCUCUACUUUAUAAUUAUUUAAUAUCUGCAGUUAUGUAACAAUUCUGCGAUGGAGAGGGACUGAGUUGGCUGAGGUUUUGCGCAUUUGUGGUGUUUUUUCAUCUUGUAUCUUCCCCGUUCUUUGCCUGCUCACAAUAUUUUAAUGGAUGGCUCACCCAGAUUUUUUGUAAAUUGUCAUUAUUUACUCAUCCUGCCAUUUCAAACCUGAUUUUUUUUAAAGUGAUAUAAUGAAAGUGAAUGAGGCUUGGGGCUGUCAAGCUCCAAAAUGACAAAAAACACUGUGAGCAGAACACCGCAACCAGAUCAUUAGGUAUGUUUACGUACACAAAUUUUCCUCAAUCGAAUGAAUUCAAUCUGACUUUAGACUCUUUAAACUUUGCUGUUUGAUUCACAUAUUCGUUUCCAUGUUUAAUCAGAUCGAAAUUUCAUUUGGAUCGCGCUCAUUGGGAUCAAUUGAUGUGUUUCCAUUAAGGCUUUUCAUUCUGUUUGAGCCUUAAAUCCAAUUGCUAACAGAUUAUAUUGGUGUAAGCAUAGCGAGAAUAAGAUCAUUUCAAUUCAUGUACAAAUCGUUCAGACUGUUUUUGUGAACUAGAUUAAGUGAUCUCAUUGAAAAUAUCCAGUGCAAAAGAAUGAUUUGUUCACUACUGUCAGUACUUCUCUAAAAGAAUAAUGACUUCAUUGGAAUUAACAUCAGACCCAGUUGUUGUUGUAUGACUUCGGAAGACUUUAUAGUUUAUAAGUCAUAUUGACCACUUUAUAAUGCUUUUAUUGUUCUUUCUUGACAUUAUAGAGGUUGACAGCCGCAGUUCUCAAUUACUUGUAUCAUAAUAGGAAAGGCAGAACAUCCUUCAUAAAUUUAUAUUUUGUGUUCCAACAUGAGGGUGAGUUAUUCCUUUAAAACCUGAGCCAUGCAUUAUCUAAUUCAAGUGAGCAGAAAGUAUAAAAGAGUGAGGGUUAGAUGAGAAAAGGACUAAAAGAACAACCACUGAAAAAAUAAAGGGAAAGGAAUUAUAAAAAGAGGGUAAAAAUGGUGGAAAAAUGCCGCUCUAAAGGAUUUCGCUUGAGUUCUGUGCUUUAUAUUGAAAUCUGAUGGCUUUUGACAAUAGUGAGCCCCCUCCUCCCCCUAUCCAGAUGCCUCUACCCCUGAGGGGGAUCUCAGGGGCCCACGGCUCUCCGCUCUUGGGAACUACUGUGGGGGAUUGGCCCCCCGCCUCACCCACCAACAACGCUCACCCGAACAGAACACUGUGUGUAGGGCAGAGGCAAGCGGGACGACCUCAGGGCCUCCUAAUAAGCAACAGCAGCCAUGGAGUCGGACAUCUAAAGAGAUCCAGCAACAAUGAUUGUGCAAUGAUAUGGAAAUGACAGCAAAACCUGAGCUCGGUUACCAAACGGCAGCGCUGUGAGGGGAAGCCGUGUCCAAACUCAUUAGGGUUUCUGUAUGUGUCUCUCUUCCCUUUUGCAAGCAUUCCCACUUCUGAUCAGACUGAUUUUUUUUAAUACUUGUGCAUGCGGUGGUUGGAACCUGGCAGGCUUAGUAUAUGUGUUGUGCAACUGGACAGUGAAAAUACCCAAACCCGACUGGGCCCCUUAUCAUGUACAGCACACAAAUUAGGCAAAGCAGCAUCCAUCUGCCACACAAAUAGAGCUCCAACCCGAACCGGCGCUCUGCCAUUGUUCUGGCCGUUCGCCGCCCCUCCCGGAGUAAUUCAUGUGCCCCGCUACUCUGCUCACCCGUCACUGGCUAUUCACUUAAACCUGAAACAUUUCCAUGGGCACAAAGGCUUCAAACAUGGCUGUGACAAAGGAAAGGAUUUCUGCGUUUCUAUUCUUUUCCUCCUCUCUGUAUUUCUCCUUUCUUCAAGACAUUGUGUUGUUUAAUUGGUUGUGCUUGGUAAUUUUGUCUCUUGUCUUCUCCCAUACUGAGUGAUUGUGCGGGGACGGACGUUUGCUUUGACUGGAUCGGACAGUAGUGGGCUCCCUCCCGUAUGCUGGGAGCCAUCUACCUUUGUUAGGUACGCGGAGUUCGGUUCGGGCUCUGUGUGUGGUAAGGUUUGGGAAUCCUGCACGGAUGUCGUGGGAAUGCAGAGGAAACGUCCCUCCUCAUGCCGCUGAAUGAUCGAGAUGACCCCUCUGUGACGUGCUCAAUGAAUUCAUAUCUCCGGUCUUGCUGAACAUCAAGGUUAACAGUCCAUGGAGAGAGUGGAGAGGACGAAGGAGUGUAAGGAAGAAUGAUGGUGGCUUUGUCUGUACAAAAGAGAAGCUGAAGAAACUGCUCUUGUCUGUAUCGUCUUGUACCGAUGACCUUGUCCUGCUCAUCCUUGACUCUGCCCACUCGUCUUGCCAGCCGCUUUUGUUGGAUUUUGAUAGCAGAGAUCGGGAUGGAUGAAUGACGGCCUCCCUAACUCGCCUGUGACUCUUUUGUUUCUGUUCAGAUGAGUUUGAAAAACACACACAGUCCAUUCAGAUACAGGUGUGUGUGUGUGUGUCCUGUGGUGUCAGUCUCUCAGCUGUGAUUACAAUGAGGACUGACCCUGGUGUCGUGGUGAUAGUAGUGCUCUAAUGAACACUAAUGAAUCAGAUGGCUGACAAUGUGAGCACCAGGAAUCUUUUGUGUUCAUGUCACUUCAGUCAUGAUGAAGAGGUGUGUGUGUAUGUGUUGUGUGUGUUGUGCCUGAAGCUAUACAACCAAAUCAAUCUAUCAGCAGAUAAAAGAAUCAUGCAUCACACAGGAGUCCAGGAAUAGAUGCAGAUUUAGAAGAUCAUUUGCUGGGCUAUGCAAAACCUAUGCUAAUUCUCAGUGAUUGCUCUGAUGAGUCAUUUGGGUUUUGUCUUUCUUCUCUUUGUAUGUGGCUCUGCUCUACAUGGGUUUUCUUUGAGUAUUUUGGUAUUCCUUUGUUCAUCCUCAUUGUUGGAUAUAUGUUUCCAUUAGUAAUAACACAGAUUUUUACCUUAGCAAAAGCAGCUUCUCAAAUUAGCUUCAGAAACAAUGCAUUUGUUCGCAAUUACUUAUAUACAGUAUGCAUACACUGGCCUGUUGUGGCUGAUAGACAGAUAUUCAAAUUCUAUUGUAUUUUGUCAAAAUAAAUAAAUAAUAAAAGCACAGAAAACUAAAAUCAGUAAUUUAAAUAAAAGAGCUAAAAAUAAAUC
ensembl:lncRNA